rnacentral:rRNA from 1 species
UUGGAGGGCAAGUCUGGUGCCAGCAGCCGCGGUAAUUCCAGCUCCAAUAGCGUAUAUUAAAGUUGUUGCAGUUAAAAAGCUCGUAGUUGAAUUUCGGGGUUCUACCGUUGGUCGGGCUUUGUCUGUACUGGUGUGUAGAAUUUCUACCUUCUGGGGAACCAUCAUGCUAUUAAUUUAGCGUGGUGGGAAACCAGGACCUUUACCUUGAAAAAAUUAGUGUGUUCAAAGCAGGCUUAUGUCUGAAUACAUUAGCGUGGAAUAAUAGAAUAGGACGGUGGUCCUGUUUUGUUGGUUUCUGAAUCACCGUAAUGAUUAAUAGGGAUAGUUGGGGGCAUUAGUAUUCAAUUGUCAGAGGUGAAAUUCUUGGAUUUAUUGAAGACUAACUUCUGCGAAAGCAUUUGCCAAGGAUGUUUUCAUUAAUCAAGAACGAAAGUUAGCCCCAUCGAAGACGAUCAGAUACCGUCGUAGUCUUAACCAUAAACUAUGCCGACUAGGGAUCGGACGAUGUUAAUUUUUCUUGACUCGUUCGGCGCCUUACGGGAAAC